AGCAGUCGCCGCGGGAAUACAGAGGGUGCAAGCGUUAAUCGGAAUUACUGGGCGUAAAGCGCGCGUAGGUGGUUUGUUAAGUUGGAUGUGAAAGCCCCGGGCUCAACCUGGGAACUGCAUCCAAAACUGGCAAGCUAGAGUACGGUAGAGGGUGGUGGAAUUUCCUGUGUAGCGGUGAAAUGCGUAGAUAUAGGAAGGAACACCAGUGGCGAAGGCGACCACCUGGACUGAUACUGACACUGAGGUGCGAAAGCGUGGGGAGCAAACAGGAUUAGAUACCCCAGUAGUCCCUGUCUCUUAUAA
rnacentral:rRNA from 1 species